rnacentral:rRNA from 1 species
UACGAAGGGGGCUAGGCGUUGCUCGGAAUGACUGGGCGUAAAGCGCGUGUAGGCGGCUUUGCAAGUCGGGUGUGAAAGCCCUCAGCUCAACUGAGGAAGUGCGCCCGAAACUGCAGAGCUUGAGUACCGGAGAGGAUGGCGGAAUUCCCCAAGUAGAGGUGAAAUUCGUAGAUAUGGGGAGGAACACCGGUGGCGAAGGCGGCCAUCUGGACGGAUACUGACGCUGAGACGCGAAAGCGUGGGGAGCAAACAGG